rnacentral:rRNA from 1 species
UAGGCUGCAACUCGCCUACAUGAAGUUGGAAUCGCUAGUAAUCGCGAAUCAGAAUGUCGCGGUGAAUACGUUCCCGGGUCUUGUACACACCGCCCGUCACACCACGAGAGUUUACAACACCCGAAGUCAGUGGCCUAACCGCAAGGAGGGAGCUGCCUAAGGUGGGGUAGAUGAUUGGGGUGAAGUCGUAACAAGGUAGC